AACGAACGCUGGCGGCAGGCUUAACACAUGCAAGUCGAACGCAUCCUUCGGGGUGAGUGGCAGACGGGUGAGUAACGCGUGGGAACGUGCCCUUCAGUUCGGGAUAACCCAGGGAAACUUGGGCUAAUACCGGAUACGUGCGAGAGCAGAAAGAUUUAUCGCUGAAGGAUCGGCCCGCGUCUGAUUAGCUAGUUGGUGGGGUAAUGGCCCCCCAAGGCGACGAACAGUAGCUGGUCUGAGAGGAUGAUCAGCCACAUUGGGACUGAGACACGGCCCAAACUCCUACGGGAGGCAGCAGGGGGGAAUAUUGGACAAUGGGCGCAAGCCUGAUCCAGCCAUGCCGCGUGAGUGAUGAAGGCCUUAGGGUUGUAAAGCUCUUUCGUCCGGGACGAUAAUGACGGUACCGGAAGAAGAAGCCCCGGCUAACUUCGUGCCAGCCGCCGCGGUAA
rnacentral:rRNA from 1 species